rnacentral:tRNA from 2 species
GGGUCGUUAGCUCAGUUGGUAGAGCAGUUGACUUUUAAUCAAUUGGUCGCAGGUUCGAAUCCUGCAACCCACCA